rnacentral:rRNA from 1 species
AGUGGGGAAUUUUGGACAAUGGGCGCAAGCCUGAUCCAGCAAUGCCGCGUGAGUGAAGAAGGCCUUCGGGUUGUAAAGCUCUUUUGUCAGGGAAGAAACGGCUGUGGCUAAUAUCCACGGCUAAUGACGGUACCUGAAGAAUAAGCACCGGCUAACUACGUGCCAGCAGCCGCGGUAAUACGUAGGGUGCAAGCGUUAAUCGGAAUUACUGGGCGUAAAGCGUGCGCAGGCGGUUUUGUAAGUCUGACGUGAAAUCCCCGGGCUCAACCUGGGAAUUGCGUUGGAGACUGCAAGGCUAGAAUCUGGCAGAGGGGGGUAGAAUUCCACGUGUAGCAGUGAAAUGCGUAGAGAUGUGGAGGAACACCGAUGGCGAAGGCAGCCCCCUGGGUCAAGAUUGACGCUCAUGCACGAAAGCGUGGGGAGCAAA